rnacentral:tRNA from 2 species
GCCCACGUAGCUCAGGGGAUAGAGCAGCCCUCUCCUAAAGGGCAGGUCGCAGGUUCGAAUCCUGUCGCGGGCACGA